CUACCAUGCAGUCGACGAUGAAGCUGCAGCUUGCUGUGGUGGAUUAGUGGCGAACGGGUGAGUAACACGUGAGCAACCUGCCCCUGACUCUGGGAUAAGCGCUGGAAACGGUGUCUAAUACUGGAUAUGUCCCAUCACCGCAUGGUGUGUGGGUGGAAAGAUUUUUCGGUUGGGGAUGGGCUCGCGGCCUAUCAGCUUGUUGGUGAGGUAAUGGCUCACCAAGGCGUCGACGGGUAGCCGGCCUGAGAGGGUGACCGGCCACACUGGGACUGAGACACGGCCCAGACUCCUACGGGAGGCAGCAGUGGGGAAUAUUGCACAAUGGGCGGAAGCCUGAUGCAGCAACGCCGCGUGAGGGAUGACGGCCUUCGGGUUGUAAACCUCUUUUAGCAGGGAAGAAGCGAAAGUGACGGUACCUGCAGAAAAAGCACCGGCUAACUACGUGCCAG
rnacentral:rRNA from 1 species